UUGUUCCACUUCCACGAUCGACUGCAGUACUCCAAUUCCUGCUUUAUCUCCUUCUUUCUCGCUUCAAGCCAGAUAACAAUUUUGAUGAUGGAUUUGAAGAGAUUACAACUGCAAUUUCUUUUCUCUCUCUUAGGUUAAUUAAGAAAAAAUAAAUAAAACCCUUCAAUAAAAUUCCCUUCCUCUUUCUCUUUUCUUUACGGUGAGACAACAAUUUUAGAUAUUUAAUGAAAGUGAAGGCGAAAACACCUCACAAGAUUUUCAGGGUCCAUAAAUGUUGAACUAGGAACUUCCCCAGCUUACUGCGUGGUCAGAAGUGAACUCCAGAGGUAAAUUGUUGUCUGUUAUCUGUUAGGAACUUGUGGAUAUAAAGUUGUUGCUUCUGACAAGUUCUUUGACAUUCAAAUCUUGUGUACAACAUCCAAAUCUCGGGUAAAUGGUUCGUUGGCAUCCAUCUAAGUUGUUUCACUAGUAUUCAAGAACUCUCAUAUUAAUUUUUGGUAGGGAAACACCGUUCUUUAUAUUUGUGAGUUUAUUUUCUUGCAAUGCAUCAGUACUUCUCAGUUUCAAUAUUAAACACUUCCUUUUCUUGCUAAUUAUAAAUUUCCUUACUUAACAUAUCAUGGAUAUUUCUUGGAUUUUCUCCUUAUAUAGUUGUUUAAAAUAUUGGUGACUAUAUUAUUAUUAUGGUGAAACAAUGCAUGGAAAUAGGAUGGACCCUGUCCAACAACAUCUUGUCAUAUGGACCUGAUGGUAGCGAACUUUCUUUCUUUGUUCAUUCAGUAAUACUUUUAUGUUUCUGUAUUUGCUCUUUGAUAACUUCUUUUAUGGCAGUGGUAAAUUAACUUUCAAGGCACUGAUGGAGUCUGCGGCACAGUCAUUUGUAAAUAAUGGUGAGAAAUACAAAGAUGAAAAACAAGAGGCAUUUCUUACUUCACUAGAACUUGGUAUGCGUCAUGGAUAAAUAAAAAUUUCAAACCUUCACUCCACCUCCUUUCGAUUAUGUGUGUAUCUCUUAUUGUGUUCUUUGCAUUUCGUCAAUUAGUUCUACUUCUUUCGUAUUUGACUUCUGAUGUAAUUUUGAUCACUUUCUAUGAUUAAUGUCUAGUUCUGUGGUGUUUGGAUCCCAUUUCACAAUAUAAUUUGAAGUUGCUAAAAUAAUAAUAUGUUAGAGGGUCGAAUGAAAUAUACCUUGGCCUUCUUACUCAAUAAGAAAAAGAUGAAGUUAGAUUUUGCGUUUUUCACCUCCUUUUUAUACUAGUUUCAAUUUCAAAUUCCUAAUGCUGAACAUUCUGAUGUUUCUUUUGGAUUUGGGUGCUGGUGGCUGAGUGAAUUGUGCUUGUGAAGGUGGUGAUCAGAAAUACUGAUAUAUGCAUAAGCUUCAUGUGCGCACCAAGUAUUGCACAAUUUUGGUGUAUUAGCAUGCAACUGAUGGUCGACGCAGUCAUCCAGGACUCAGACAUGCUUAUUCCUUUGGAUGCCAAGCGACAUUCUAGCAAAAGAGUUCGGAUGAGUUAACUUUGUUGUGGUGUGGGUGCGUCAUCCAUCUUCAGUAACGGGACCUGGAGUAUGCAGGCAAUGGAAGUGCAGUUCUCCCAAAAAUUUGUUAGAGGCUGUCCUUCCAAUUCUUUUAUGCAAAUGCGCUUAUAUGGUUUCAUACUUGCUGACCAUAUUGAUAUUACUUGUAAUCAACUUUAUUAGAAUCCAUAUAUCAAGAUAUAUACAAACCAUAUUGAUUUUUCAUUAAA